GAGGGCGGGGCGGGGGCCUACAUCACGUCUUCCCUUCACAUUUGCCCUCUCGGAGCCUGGCAGUGCCCCGAGGAGUCAACACAGGGGGAUAGAGCGCCUUCCUCACAUAAACACAGUGCGGAGCCGCCCCUCCGUCCUGCAUCCUGUCGUGAGGCACAAGCGUCCCUUCCCUCCGCCCCACGGCUCCUUCCAUUCCCUUCCCGUGCUGACUUCUCUCUGCUUCCCCAGCUCCGGCGCGAGGUCCCCACGAGGUCUCCCGAUGCUCUCCGGGGUUCUGCCCAGCUGGUCGCUCCCCGUCCCGGCGGCCGCUGCUAUGGCCGUGCUGGGGCUGGAGCCUCGCUUGCCGAUGCCGGAGUCACUUAGUGAUUUCAUGAUUGAAGCAGGCUAGAAAUGGAUGAUCACACCUAAACUGAAAGCAGUCCUCAGGAUUCCUUAGGAAUGAAUAAUACCUUCUGUUAAGAAGAGUUCAAGUGUGUUGGUGCUCCUUGACUGCCUAGAAUAUGCCUCAUGAGAUAGAGAUAAACAAUAUGGAGUCAAAAGAGUUCCUUGUAAAUUGAUUGGUCUUCCAGACUUGCCCUGGACCAGAAUAUGUGCUAAUUGUAUGGGCAAGGAAAAUCUUGUCCUGGGAAAUGUAAUCUUUAUGGAGAAAUGCCCUUGAUUAAAGAGAGAAAACCAGCAAGGGAUGUGCAAGGCAUCAGAACUGAUCUGUUGAGUGGAUGAUUGCAGACUUCACACAAGAUCACUCAGUUGUCCUAUGUAAUGUUUUGUCCUGAACUGAAACUGACUCAGACUAUUACAUCUUCAAUGCUCAUGUUUAAACAAUCUAGCCAUUGGUUGCAACAGAAGUUUCUUAAAAGCUGGGGCAAUUUAUUUCUGUAUGGAUUGACUGAAAUAAAGUUAAUACACGAA